UACGUAGGUGACAAGCGUUGUCCGGAUUACUGGGCGUAAAGAGCGCGCAGGCGGUCGUUCAAGUCGAGUGUGAAAGCCCCCGGCUCAACUGGGGAGGGUCACUCGAUACUGAUCGACUCGAAGGCAGGAGAGGGUAGUGGAAUUCCCGGUGUAGUGGUGAAAUGCGUAGAUAUCGGGAGGAACACCAGUGGCGAAGGCGACUACCUGCCUGUUCUUGACGCUGAGGCGCGAAAGCUAGGGAGCAACGGG
rnacentral:rRNA from 1 species